UACGGGGGGGGCAAGCGUUGUUCGGAAUUACUGGGCGUAAAGGGCUCGUAGGCGGCCAACUAAGUCGGAUGUGAAAUCCCCAGGCUUAACCUGGGAACUGCAUCCGAUACUGGAUGGCUUGAAUCCGGGAGAGGGAUGCAGAAUUCCAGGUGUAGCGGUGAAAUGCGUAGAUAUCUGGAGGAAUACCGGUGGCGAAGGCGGCAUCCUGGACCGGCAUUGACGCUGAGGAGCGAAAGCUAGGGGGCAAACGGG
rnacentral:rRNA from 1 species